rnacentral:lncRNA from 7 species
CUGCUUUCAGUUUUUGAUCAUGUCUGACCACCCCAUUUGCCCUAUGAUUUGUUUCCCUUCAAUGACAGUUGUUUUGAAUUCUGACUUCUGGAGAACGAAACACUGAAUGCAGGGAGUUCCAUGGAGAAAUCAGCAUUUUAUCAAAGAUUAAGGGAAAUGAACAUUGAUACAAUUCAAGAUGAAUCGUAUGUGUGAACAGAUCCAGCUGAAAGGUACCUCACCUGAAAGGAUAGAAGGCAAACAAGAACAACAGCAAUCAAACCAUGAAAUAAGGCAAUGGGGAUGGUUGCGUUGUUCUGAGGCACCGUGCAAAGAGCCGCUUUUGACCAAGUUUGCAGAGAGAAAUUCGUGUGGCUUAUUUAAACACUGCUAUGUACCUACAUGUCCUGAAAGCAGCACAGCCCUGUGACCACUAUGCUACCAGAUUCUGUGGACCUAUCCUUCAGCAGGGCUCACAGUUUGGGGUGCUGCACUGCUUGCCCAGCUGUUGCACCUUCUGCUCUGAUGCUGCUGCAGGCUCUUCAAGCUGGAGCCAACUCCUGGUGAUCUGUAAACAUAACCAAGCUCUGAAGCAAUGUGAUGUUUUUCACUCAGGAGGGAGAGGAGAGAGAGCAAUGUUCUCUGGCAGUUGAAAGCUGCUCACCUUACCUCUUUCCCCUUUAUAUUGUACCAAAUUUGUGCUAGAAGACUCUGAAAUAAAACUCGCUGAAGAAAACGAA